GAUCCUGGCUCAGGAUGAACGCUAGCGACAGGCUAACACAUGCAAGUCGAGGGGCAGCAUAGAAGUAGCAAUACUUGGUGGCGACCGGCGCACGGGUGAGUAACGCGUAUGCAACCUACCUAUCAGGAGGGGAAUAACCCGGCGAAAGUCGGACUAAUACCGCAUAAAACAGGGGCACCGCAUGGUGAUAUUUGUUAAAGAAAUUCGCUGAUAGAUGGGCAUGCGUUCCAUUAGGUAGUUGGUGAGGUAACGGCUCACCAAGCCGACGAUGGAUAGGGGAACUGAGAGGUUGGUCCCCCACACUGGUACUGAGACACGGACCAGACUCCUACGGGAGGCAGCAGUGAGGAAUAUUGGUCAAUGGGCGGGAGCCUGAACCAGCCAAGUCGCGUGAAAGGAAGAAGGAUCUAUGGUUCGUAAACUUCCUUUGCAGGGGAAUAAAGUGCAGGACGUGUCCUGUUUUGUAUGUACCCUGAGAAUAAGGAUCGGCUAACUCCGUGCCAGCCGCUGC
rnacentral:rRNA from 1 species